CGGCUGGCAGGCCCAGGCCCCCUUGGAAGAUGGGUUUACUCAGAAUCGCUGACGCCACUCUUAUUUUCUUGUGUGCCCAUACAAAUGUUGUGUAUAUGCGUUGCAGCUUGGUCAGGUACUUGUUUGGGAGGAAAAUCUGCAGUGUUCUUAUGAGAUAUUGGAACUUAGGGAGUAAAACCAUUUUCAGGGCAGUCAGCCUACCUACCCAUGACAGAUAUUUGUGUUCCCAACUUUUCAGUGUUUCUUCGCUCUCCUUCAGGAGUUUGCCAUAAUUGAGCUGCAGCAGUUGGUUAGGAUGCUUUGGUAGUUUUAAUCCCAGGAAAGUGAUGUAGUCCCCCCUCCAGUCGAAUUGGAAAUUGUCUUUUAGUUUGUCUAUCGAGGCCUGUGUCAUCCUUAUCCCCAUGGCUUGUGUCUUGGUAACGUUCAGUGUAUAGUAAGACUGAUCCCCAUACUCCUUGAUUUCGGCAAGAAUGUUUGGUAGUGAGAUAUGUGGCUGUGUAAUUGUCAACAUAAUGUCAUCUGCAAAAAGUCCUGCUUUGUAUUCCCUCUUCCCCACCUGAAUCCCGUGUAUGUUUCUGUUUUCUCUGAAUCGUGGGGCUAAUGGUUCUAGGGCUAGGAUGUACAAUAGUGGCGACAGGGGGCAUCCUUGUCUUGUUCCGUUGGAGAGCCGAAACGGCUCCGAUAGGAACCCCGAGUUUAACACUCGUGCCUCGGGUAAGCUGUAUAGUGCGUCCACUACUGCUCCAAAUUCGUCCGGUAUUCCAAACUUGCGUAAGACCGCUUUUAAAAACCCCCAGUGUAGCCUGUCAAAGGCCUUUUCGGUGUCCAGGGAGAGGAACAGUCCUCCCUCUUUUUCUGUCUGUAGUUUGUAUAGCAGGUUUAUGGCUUUCCUUGUGUUGUCUGACCCCUGUCUCCCCUUUACAAAUUCCACCUGGCCGUUGUGAAUGAUGUGUGGUAUGAUUAGUCCCAGUCUCGUAGCAUAUAGUUUGGCGAAAAGCUUUGCGUCUGUGUUUAGAAGUGAAAUAGGACGAAAAUUUUUCGGCGUUGUGGGUGGUUUGUUGGGUUUUGGCAAUGUAACGAUAUGUGCUAACAACCAGGCCCGGACUGGCCAUCGGGCACAGCGGGCAAAUGCCCGGUGGGCCGCGGGGCCGAGGCCGGCAGGGGAGGUCCCAGGAUCUCCCCUGCCGGUCUAUGCAGGGCCGGCACUCUCCUAGCGCCGGCCCCG